rnacentral:RNase_P_RNA from 1 species
ACAGUCGGCCGGUCUGUCGCUCGUGGAGCCGUGUUGAAAUACCGGCUACGGGAUGCCAUUCAGAAAUGGGUAGCGUCUCCCGAGAGGAAAGUCCGGGCAACACAGGGCACCAUCCUUCCUAACGGGAAGCUGUCGGCGACGGCAGAGUAAGCGUAACAGAAAAGAACCGCCGGGCGCACUGCGCUCGGUAAGGGUGAAAAGGCGAGGUAAGAGCUCACCGCCCCAGUCGGAAUACGGGGGGACAGUACGCCUGAUGGGUUGUAAGGUCAUGUAUACCGGCGCAUCAAGGGCUGCCCGCCCAAUGCCGGGGGGUAGACUGCACAGAGCCUGUCGGCAACGGCAAGGCCAAGAUAAAUGACAGACGCACCGCCGCUCCCCGCGGUGGCGUACAGAACCCGGCUUAUAGGCCGGCUGUCCCU